CCUGGCUCUCCAGUGGGAAAUUUGACUUGCUGCCAUGAAAGCAUGUCCCACAUCCCAGCAGCUGCCUUUUAAAGAGAUGAAAUGUUCACCCCACACAGAGCUGGGAACUUCAAUGAGAAGAGGGAGCAUAGCAAGAACUGACAGUCUUAGUGUCUUAAAUAAGGAAGAUGUUUGUGGAAUACGCACGAGACCUAGGAGCCCACCACUGCCAUAAAGGGCUGCCACAUUUUCCCCCACAGCAUCUGUCAAAGCCAGGAGCAGCUGCCUGCCCUGGAGGGAAGACAUUUUGAACACUGCUUGUUCACACUCCCUUUCCCCUAAAAAGCAUCUAUUUACUGAUGUUUAAAAAUACACAGCCAAAAAAUAUGGGUGACUGCCACAUCCUGCCCCUCUCCUAGCCCUGUUUGUAUCACAGAACAUGGGGCUGUGGUGGAGGCUGCCACUGUGAGAUGGGGAGUGCAGGGCUUCGUGCUGAAGAACAGCUUCAUUUAGGAAAAACACAGACAGCUCCCUGGCAGCAGCAGGCUUUGUGUUUACUGUCUCUCCAGAGUUUCCAGCUGAGGAGCAAUGUGAACCUUAUUCUGUCUUGUGGUUUAAUAUUGUUUUUGUUGAGUUUAGCACUGUGAAGGCAGGUUUGAAGCUGUUCUCCUCUCACCUGAAGUCAUGACUGAGGCCCUUCUCCAGUCCUUCGCCAGUGAAAAACCCAUAGGUCUGGACAGGCAAAGAGAAGAUGGACAGAUGUAUUCUAAUACUGCAGCAAAAACACUCAUGCUGAGGUACAAGGGCAGCCCAUCACAGAAGCAUUUUGCUUCUGGAAAGUCACCUCUGGUGAUUCCUGGUGAUAAAACAUUUCAUUUGCUCCAGCUACAGCCCUUAGAUGAUCAGAUCAGAUCAAAUUUCAUGCAGAUAAAUUGCAGCCACCUAGAUGGAAAACAGAAAAAUACUUCAUCUGACACUUUCAAUUUCAACUUGAACUCCAUGUCACAGAAAUAGCCUUGCCUAGAAAAUAUCUGUGAAUCAAGAUUCAAAUACAUACAACAAGAUCUAAAUAGCUGCAUUAAUAAAAUGAUAAUGUGUUCGGCUUCUGCA
rnacentral:lncRNA from 1 species